rnacentral:rRNA from 1 species
UACGUAGGGUGCAAGCGUUGUCCGGAAUUAUUGGGCGUAAAGAGCUCGUAGGCGGUCUGUCGCGUCGGCUGUGAAAACUCGGGGCUCAACCCCGAGCCUGCAGUCGAUACGGGCAGACUAGAGUGCUGUAGGGGAGACUGGAAUUCCUGGUGUAGCGGUGAAAUGCGCAGAUAUCAGGAGGAACACCGGUGGCGAAGGCGGGUCACUGGCCCGAUACUGACGCUGAGGUGCGAAAGCGUGGGGAGCAAACAGG